rnacentral:misc_RNA from 1 species
UUUUUUUUUUUCAAUUUUACCUCUUUCUGUUCGGUUCUGAAUCUUUGAUUAAAUUUGUUUGUUUUUAAUUAUUUUUUCAUUGAUUUGUUUGUUUGAUCUGUAAUGCAAUUUAGGGUUUGGGAAUUGACUAGCAUGUGGGCCUCUGUUUUUAAUGGCGGUUUUCGUCCUGAUUUCUGAUCCUUAAAUCUUUUCAUUUAAGUCUAGGGUUUUUUUAGUAUCCAUGUAUUUCUUUCCUUCUAGUGGUAAUUGACUUGAUAUUGGUGGUAUUUGUGGUUUUCAGUAUCCGAAACUUGUUGCUUUAGUAUGUUUUGGUGCAUCUUAAGUUGUAAUGUAGGUAUUGCUAGCUGUUUCUUUAGCGUUUCCUAGGAGUUUCUACUGUCUAUUUUAUUUUGUUAUUGUCGAUUUGGGGGUUCUAAUGGUACCUGAGUCAGCCUUAUAGACACAUAUGCAUAUCAUGAACAUUCAAUUCCACUAUUGAAAAAGAAAGAAAGCGUUUAGGGAUGGAGGGUGAUAAAAGGAACUGGCAACAAAAUGUACACAAAAAUCAGAAAGAAGCAAACUUGGUAAUUGGGGAACUAUCACCAGCUGCUUCAAAUUGGUUGAGGA